rfam:Gossypium hirsutum cultivar TM-1 chromosome 9, whole genome shotgun sequence
GCGGAUGUAGCCAAGUGGAUUGUGAAUCCACCAUGCGCGGGUUCAAUUCCCGUCGUUCGCC